UAGCAGUUUACUUAUUGUCAAAAUUAACAAGCUACAUCGGAAAAGUUUUGAAAUUUCAUAUUGGUGAAAAUGAAUUCGUAUUUUCUCCAAUGCCUGACUGUUCUCAGUCUGGUAAUGACUAUUGUGGCUUUUCCAAUACCGAAAGAUCCGCUGGCUUUGGCAAUUGCCACCGAACCUGAUAUGGAUUUUCCGGAUAUUGAUCUUUGGAUGGCUUAAAUGAAUUUCCGCAGCCACUGCUUCUACUCUUCUUUUUGGUUCUCCACAUAUUUGGAACAAAAAAUUUAAUUAAAACAAACAAUAUGUUACCUAAA